UACAGAGGUCCCAAGCGUUGUUCGGAUUCACUGGGCGUAAAGGGCGCGUAGGCGGCUCUGCACGUCCGUUGUGAAAUCGCCCGGCUCAACUGGGCGGGGUCAGCGGAUACGGCGGAGCUUGAGCAAGCUAGGGGGCAAUGGAAUUCCCGGUGUAGUGGUGGAAUGCGUAGAUAUCGGGAGGAACACCAGUGGCGAAGGCGGUUGCCUGGGGCUUGCUGACGCUGAUGCGCGAAAGCGUGGGGAGCGAGUCCGGG
rnacentral:rRNA from 1 species